UACGUAGGGUGCAAGCGUUAAUCGGAAUUACUGGGCGUAAAGCGUGCGCAGGCGGUGAUGUAAGACAGUUGUGAAAUCCCCGGGCUCAACCCGGGAACUGCGUCCGAUACUGGCAGGCUUGAAUCCGGGAGAGGGAUGCGGAAUUCCAGGUGUAGCGGUGAAAUGCGUAGAUAUCUGGAGGAACACCGGUGGCGAAGGCGGCAUCCUGGACCAACACUGACGCUGAGGAGCGAAAGCCAGGGGAGCAAACGGG
rnacentral:rRNA from 1 species